UACGGGGGGGGCAAGCGUUGUUCGGAAUUACUGGGCGUAAAGGGCGUGUAGGCGGCCUAGCAAGUCAGCUGUGAAAGCCCCAGGCUCAACCUGGGAAUUGCAUCUGAAACUGCCGGGCUAGAGUUCAGGAGAGGAGGGCGGAACUCCCAGUGUAGCGGUGAAAUGCGUAGAUAUUGGGAGGAACACCGGUGGCGAAGGCGGCUCUCUGGACUGAAACUGACGCUGAGGCGCGAAAGCCAGGGGAGCGAAC
rnacentral:rRNA from 1 species